UGUACAUUUUAGCUCUUCAUAAAAAGGAAUGGGACAGAAUUAAUCGAAAAGGGGAUGAUAAUGAAACAGCACAUUCAAAAGAAGAAUAUAUAAAGUCACUGAACGAGCUGUCCCAAAAUAGGACGAAGGCGUGGCCGGAUACUGUGGAGGGACAGGUGCGCCGUGUAAAAAAAAAGAUACAGGCAAAGCGAUUAAAGGAGUUGGAUUUAGUAAAUCAUUAUAGAUCAUUGAAAAAGGAAUGUAACGAUGACGUAAUUAAGGCAGCCAAAAGGCAAAUAUUCGAAAAAAGUUGUUAUGGACGGCAAUUACUAAGCGCCCUGAUGCAAUCUAAAACAUUAGAGGGACGAGAACAGCAGAUCAAAUUUAAAAAACAAUUACAAGAUGAUCAAUUAAACAACAAUACAAAACCAGACUCAGUCUCCAUCGAAAACGCUGAAGAAAUGGAGAAAAAAGAGAAGGAAAUAUUUCGAAAGAAAAAAAGAAAUAUGGAGAUAGCACAGUACAACAAAUUAAUGUUUCAAUGUCAAACCGAGCAAAAGAAAAAAGAAAAGGCUGAAGAUGUAAAAUUUGAACUCGAAGAAGCAAUGAAUAACAAGCUUCUUUUACAAAUGGAAGAACAUAAUGAAAACGAAGCCAGACUUGCAGCGUGGAAGGAAAUGGUUGAUCAUGCUGAAGAAGGGAGAAAGAUCAGAGAAGAAAAGAGGCAAAGAGAUAUUGAGGAGGAUAAGAAGAUAGCAACAUGGCAAUUGAAUAACGAACGUAUUGCCAAAAGAAUAAACCAGAUUAAUAAACAGCUUACACAGAAAUCCGAAACCGAUCAGUACAAGAAAGUUUUCAAGACAAUAGAUACCUUAAAUCAAGAUGAGAAAAAACGUUAUGAAGAAUUUAUAAAUAAAGGCAUCGAACGACUCCAAAAAAGUACUGAAAUUGAAGAAAACCUGAAAAAAUAUUCGGAGCUACAAAAAGUUACUGCAAUCAAAAAGAAAAUUGAAAGUGAACCAAAAUUUGAUAAGCCAUAUGAACAAAAUAAAAACGUUUGUGAUAGACAGUGCAUCAUAUUGUGUAAAUCUGAAAUGGAGAAGAAACUGCAUAAAAACAAAACAUUCAUCAACAAAGGUAUGUGUAUUUGAUUCAAACACAUCCGAAAUCUCUACGUAGUAAAAACCAGUUGUUAGAGGCUUACAAGAAACGUAAGGAAGAACCUUCUCCAUGGAACGGUCUAGAAGCUUCACAUUGUCAUUUCACGCAUUACGCAGAUGAACUAUUACGAGAUUGUCGAUAUAAAUACUUUCCUCAAAAAGUUAUAAACGAUUAUAAUCGCUCACACAACCUUAAUAAUAAAACAGGCCUGUCAACCCAAGAUCGCAAGUAAAUUGUUGGUAUUCUUCACUAUAAAUCUUUGUUUACAACUUAUAAAAUAUAUUUGUGGCUUUAAAAAUGUGUUAACAACUUAUAAAAUAUAUUUGUGGCUUUAAAAAAUUGUUUACAACUUAUAAAAUAUAUUUGUGGCUUUAAAAAUGUGUUUACGACUUAUAAAAUAUAUUUGUGGCUUUAAAAAUGU